GGCUAUUUGCAUUGAAUCCGGUUUCUUCCCUCUGUGAUCGAAGAUGUUUGUCUGGAUGUUGACUUGAACUCAAAGGCUAAUAAUCCCUCAGGAAUCGUUCAAUCACCAACUUCUCCAGCUGAACCAGUGCCAGCCGAACAAGAGGCAAAUCCAACAAAUUCCCAUAAUGCUCAACCUCCGGCAGAUACGGCCCCUGAGCCUGCAGGCGCACACCAAACCGAUGUUCGUGUGGACGUGCCGUCCCUUAUAAUGCCAACUUCUCCACCUCCACUAACGCCAG